CUCUUCUGAUAACCAAAUAUUCUUUCCUCUUUUGUUUCCCAAUCCUACAUUCAAUCCCUCCAUAAGAGCAACCCUCUAAAAGUCUUAUGCAAGCUCUUCAUACAGCAUGAAGUCCAAGAUGUCUGUGUAGUACCUGGAAGUCAGAUGAACCAGGGAGGACACCACAAAUCAUGGACCCAACUGAGAAUAAAACUUUGUCACUCAGCUUUGAGGUUCUUGAGGUUGGAGAGGAUAUAAAAGCUUUCAUUCAAUGUUUGAAUCCUCUGAUACAAGAUUUGCUUCUUUUCUACCACCAGUUGAUAAACCUAAUAACUCAUUUGUUGGAAAUCUACUACCCUCCACAAGAAGGACCUUCCUUUCUUAUAUUGGGGUACAAUGUGUAUUUGUCUCCUGUCUAUGAAUCCUAUUUUUCCUGCUUUUCUUCCUGCAGCCAUUUAGAAGAGGCAUUAUUUAUUUAUUUAUUUAUUUAUUUUUGUGACAGAGUCUUGCUCUGUCACCCAGGCUGGAGUGCAGUGGUGCGAUCUUGGCUCACUGCAGGCUCUGCCUCCCGGGUUCACGCCAUUCUCCUGCCUCAGCCUCCCGAGUAGCUGGGACUACAGGUGCCCACCACCACGCCCGGCUAAUUUUUUUGUCUUUUUUAAUAGAGAUGGGGUUUCACCGUGUUAGCCAGAAUGGUCUCGAUCUCCUGAACUUGUGAUCCACCUACCUCGGCCUCCCAAAGUGCUGGGAUUACAGGCGUGAGCCACAGCGCCCAGCCAGAAGAGGCGUUUUUUAAAAAUAAGAAAACACUUCAGAUGUUUUUAAUAUGCCAUCAUAAAAUGUCCUGGAAGGGUGCACUAAAACUGUUUAAAAAUGACAACUUUUGUGAAGUGGGACUAGGGGAUAAGGGAGAUAAUUCUAGAAGUUAAGACUCAUACUGGAUUUAAAAUAUACUCAUUCAUGUAUUAAUUUAAUAGCAGUAAUAAUUAUUAUUUUAAAAUAACAUUAUGUCCUCUAUGAGUCUCCUCUUAAAAAUGCAAAUGUUUACAGCUAAUUUUUUUUCUCAAAUAAUAAUUACUUUUAGGCCUUACUUCUGUCUUUUUAUUUUCUCUGCUCAUGGCUCUAUCCUUUUGAAAGGUAUUUGAGUGUGGCAGCCAAAUAGAACCAAAAUGACGAAUUUAUUUAAUGGUGAUUUAGUUGUGUGUAUGUGUACAGGUGUCUAAAUGUAUGUUGAUAUGCACAGAUUAGACAUUGUUUAGUAUACAACCCUUAGUUUAGCAUAUAGAACUUCAUAGAUAUAUAGAGAAAAUUAUUACAGUCACUAAAAAUGGAAGAAAAAAGGAUUUUAAUAGAAAAAAAUAAUAUAUUAUUUUCCACACAGGACAGAAAUGACAUGAUCUUUAUUUUUGUGUCGUGGGUUUUCCUACCUGUCUUAACUACAGAAAAAUAACCUGGCAUAUACUCUUCUAACUAACAGGUCAAAAAGCAUGCAUUGAAGGAUAUUUAUUAGUUUUCAAAUACACUAUUGUUUUGUACUGUCUUUGUAAUAAAAAUGUGUAUUUUUCUUAGGCAACAUCUUAUUUGUUUAAUGUUUUAAUUUUACCACUUGAAUUUUUCAAUUUUUUCUUUAAUCAUGAAAUGUCCAAAAUUGUAGUAUCUUAGGGAGUCAAGAAAGUGCUUUCUUUCCAACCCCCUCCAACCAGAAG
rnacentral:lncRNA from 1 species